rnacentral:rRNA from 1 species
AGUUUGAUCAUGGCUCAGAUUGAACGCUGGCGGCAGGCCUAACACAUGCAAGUCGAACGGUAACAGGAAACAGCUUGCUGUUUCGCUGACGAGUGGCGGACGGGUGAGUAAUGUCUGGGAAACUGCCUGAUGGAGGGGGAUAACUACUGGAAACGGUAGCUAAUACCGCAUAACGUCGCAAGACCAAAGAGGGGGACCUUCGGGCCUCUUGCCAUCGGAUGUGCCCAGAUGGGAUUAGCUAGUAGGUGGGGUAACGGCUCACCUAGGCGACGAUCCCUAGCUGGUCUGAGAGGAUGACCAGCCACACUGGAACUGAGACACGGUCCAGACUCCUACGGGAGGCAGCAGUGGGGAAUAUUGCACAAUGGGCGCAAGCCUGAUGCAGCCAUGCCGCGUGUAUGAAGAAGGCCUUCGGGUUGUAAAGUACUUUCAGCGGGGAGGAAGGGAGUAAAGUUA